ACGCUCCGGUUGCAGCUUCGAAUCAGAACGAAAAUAGUGAAGAUCGCUCUGCUCCGGGCCAUAUUUUCACAACAGAGAGGGGAGAGCCUGGUUACCACCUCUAGAUGCUUUAAUGCUGCAAGAAUGUAAGAAAUAUGUUUGUAUUUUAGAAGGUAUUCAAUAGCGAUCGAGGUUCUGUUGCACAAUUUGUUUUCUUCUCUGCUCUUUCUGUUAGCCUUUUCCAAACUGAGCCUUAAAGCUUUAGUUUUUGCUGUGUCAUUAUUUUUUCUCCAAGAAUAUCCUCUCCACAAUGCCUGAAAUUGAAUUAUUCCAACUGCGAUUUUUCUCUUACGUCUGCAGGCGAGGAAUCUUCGUACAUUUCGUUGGAUUAGGGUUGCUGCAUCAUUUCUGCGUUUUAGCCAGCCUCGGAUCAUACGUUGACAUUGAAUGAUUCUUUGAUAAUCUCUUUGAAACCUUUUCUGUUGCAUUUUUGCUUGGAACCAUUUCUGUAUUACAAGAAUGGAUGAGAUGUGGUUUUCUGCUAGCUUAUAGGCGAGGUGCAUCCUGUAAGCCCUUUGAAUUUUAAUUGCAGAAACGUGAUGAUAUGCAGCUGCUAUAAAAUAAAGCAGUCUCUUCUUCUGUUUCUGUUCUGAAAACUUUCUUAAAAGUCUUCUAGCCCUGUACUGUCUGUAUGCCAACUGAAUCUUAACUACUGCGUUCUUGGUUGCCAGAAACUGAAGCCGAACCAUUCUUGCUGCAAGGGUUG
rnacentral:lncRNA from 1 species